rnacentral:rRNA from 1 species
AACAGGAUUAGAUACCCUGGUAGUCCACGCCGUAAACGAUGUCGACUUGGAGGUUGUUCCCUUGAGGAGUGGCUUCCGGAGCUAACGCGUUAAGUCGACCGCCUGGGGAGUACGGCCGCAAGGUUAAAACUCAAAUGAAUUGACGGGGGCCCGCACAAGCGGUGGAGCAUGUGGUUUAAUUCGAUGCAACGCGAAGAACCUUACCUACUCUUGACAUCCAGCGAACUUGGCAGAGAUGCCUUGGUGCCUUCGGGAACGCUGAGACAGGUGCUGCAUGGCUGUCGUCAGCUCGUGUUGUGAAAUGUUGGGUUAAGUCCCGCAACGAGCGCAACCCUUAUCCUUUGUUGCCAGCGAUUCGGUCGGGAACUCAAAGGAGACUGCCGGUGAUAAACCGGAGGAAGGUGGGGAUGACGUCAAGUCAUCAUGGCCCUUACGAGUAGGGCUACACACGUGCCACAAUGGCGCAUACAAAGAGAAGCGACCUCGCGAGAGCAAGCGGACCUCAUAAAGUGCGUCGUAGUCCGGAUCGGAGUCUGCAACUCGACUCCGUGAAGUCGGAAUCGCUAGUAAUCGUGGAUCAGAAUGCCACGGUGAAUACGUUCCCGGGCCUUGUACACACCGCCCGUCACACCAUGGGAGUGGGUUGCAAAAGAAGUAGGUAGCUUAACCUCCGGGAGGGCGCUUACCACUUUGUGAUUCAUGACUGGGGUGAAGUCGUAACAAGGUACC